CCUACGGGUGGCAGCAGUGGGGAAUAUUGGGCAAUGGAGGCAACUCUGACCCAGCAACGCCGCGUGAAUGAUGAAGGUCUUCGGAUUGUAAAGUUCUUUUCUAAGGGAAGAAGAAAGUGACGGUACCUUAGGAAUAAGCCUCGGCUAACUACGUGCCAGCAGCCGCGGUAAUACGUAGGAGGCAAGCGUUAUCCGGAAUGACUGGGCGUAAAGGGUGCGUAGGUGGUUUGACAAGUUAGUAGCGCAACUCCGGAGCUAAACGUCGGAACUACUACUAAAACUGUUUGGCUUGAGUGCAGUGGGGGCAGUCGGAAUGCCUAGUGUAGCGGUGGAAUGCGUAGAUAUUAGGCGGAACACCGGUGGCGAAGGCAGAUUGCUAGACUGUAACUGACACUGAGGCACGAAAGCGUGGGGAGCAAACAGGAUUAGAUACCCGAGUAGUC
rnacentral:rRNA from 1 species